GAAAGCGUAACAGCUCACUGAUCUAGCGAUUCUGCGCUGAAAAUAUAACGGGGCUAAGAUACGCACCGAAGCUUUAGAUUCGUAUUUAUACGAGUGGUAGGAGAGCGUUCCAAACAGCGUUGAAGGUAUACCGGUGAGGAGUGCUGGAGCGUUUGGAAGUGAGCAUGCAGGCAUGAGUAGCGAUAAAAGCAGUGAGAAUCUGCUUCGCCGUAAACCCAAGGUUUCCUACGCGAUGCUCGUCAUCGUAGGGUCAGUCGGGACCUAAGUCGAGUCCGAAAGGGGUAGACGAUGGCAAAUCGGUUAAUAUUCCGAUACCGACAAUUGUUCGUUUGAGUGAUGGGGGGACGCAUAGAGUUAAUCGAGCUCACUGAUGGAAUAGUGGGUCGAAGGACGUAGGCUGAAACACAGGCAAAUCCGUGUUUCGUUAGGCCGAGAUCUUACAGGCUCUUCAAGGACUUCGGUCUGCGAGGAGAAUCGAUGAUACUGUCG
rnacentral:rRNA from 1 species